rnacentral:rRNA from 1 species
GAUGAACGCUGGCGGCGUGCCUAAUACAUGCAAGUCGAGCGAACAGAUGAGGAGCUUGCUCCUCUUACGUUAGCGGCGGACGGGUGAGUAACACGUGGAUAACCUACCUAUAAGACUGGGAUAACUUCGGGAAACCGGAGCUAAUACCGGAUAAUAUAUUUAACCGCAUGGUUCAAUAGUGAAAGACGGUUUUGCUUUCACUUAUAGAUGGAUCCGCGCCGCAUUAGCUAGUUGGUAAGGUAACGGCUUACCAAGGCAACGAUGCGUAGCCGACCUGAGAGGGUGAUCGGCCACACUGGAACUGAGACACGGUCAAGACUCCUACGGGAGGCAGCAGUAGGGAAUCUUCCGCAAUGGGCGAAAGCCUGACGGAGCAACGCCGCGUGAGUGAUGAAGGUCUUCGGAUCGUAAAACUCUGUUAUUAGGGAAGAACAAAUGUGUAAGUAAAUAUGCACGUCUUGACGGUACCUAAUCAGAAAGCCACGGCUAACUACGUG